AUUGAACGCUGGCGGCAUGCCUUACACAUGCAAGUCGAACGGCAGCACGGGGGCUUGCACCUGGUGGCGAGUGGCGAACGGGUGAGAAAUACAUCUGAACGGGUCCGUCAGGGGGGGAUAGCCGGGCGAAAGCAGGAGUAAUACCGCAGACGAUCCACGGAUGAAAGCAGGGGACCGUCGGGCCUCGCGCUAUAGGGGGGGCAGAUGGCUGAUUAGCUAGUUGGUGGGGUAAAGGCCUAGCAAGGCGACGGUCAGUAGCUGGUCUGAGAGGAGGACCAGCCACAUGGGGACUGAGACACGGCCCCGACUCCUACGGGAGGCCGCAGUCGGGAAUUUUGGACAAUGGGCGAAAGGCUGAUCCAGGAAUGCCGCGGGUGUCAAGAAGGCCCUCGGGUUGGAGAGCAAUUUUGUCCGGAAAGAAAUACUUCACUCUCAUCCAGUCGGGGGAUGACGGUACCGGCAGAAUAAGCACCGGCUAACUACGUG
rnacentral:rRNA from 1 species